GCCCCGAUGGGGUAAUGGAUAUCCUUUUGGCUUGCGGAGCCAAAGACCCGGGUUCAACUCCCGGUCGGGGCAC
rnacentral:tRNA from 1 species